rnacentral:rRNA from 1 species
AGUGAACGCUGGCGGUAGGCCUAACACAUGCAAGUCGAACGGCAGCACAGGAGAGCUUGCUCCUCGGGUGACGAGUGGCGGACGGGUGAGUAAUGUCUGGGGAUCUGCCCGAUAGAGGGGGAUAACCACUGGAAACGGUGGCUAAUACCGCAUAACGUCGCAAGACCAAAGAGGGGGACCUUCGGGCCUCUCACUAUCGGAUGAACCCAGAUGGGAUUAGCUAGUAGGCGGGGUAACGGCCCACCUAGGCGACGAUCCCUAGCUGGUCUGAGAGGAUGACCAGCCACACUGGAACUGAGACACGGUCCAGACUCCUACGGGAGGCAGCAGUGGGGAAUAUUGCACAAUGGGCGCAAGCCUGAUGCAGCCACGCCGCGUGUAUGAAGAAGGCCUUCGGGUUGUAAAGUACUUUCAGCGGGGAGGAAGGCGAUGUGGUUAAUAACCGCAUUGAUUGACGUUACCCGCAGAAGAAGCACCGGCUAACUACGUGCCAGCCGCCGCAGUAA